GACGAACGCUGGCGGCGUGCUUAACACAUGCAAGUGGAGCGACGAACCAGGCUUCGGCCUGGGGGCAGAGCCGCGAACGGGUGAGUAACACGUGGGUAACCUGCCCUGAUGAUCGGGACAACCCGGGGAAACCCGGGCUAAUACCGAAUGUGCCCGCGAGCCGCAAGGCUUGCGAGGAAAGGAAGCUUCGGCCUCCGCAUCGGGAUGGGCCCGCGGCCCAUUAGCUUGUUGGUGGGGUAACGGCCUACCAAGGCAGCAAUGGGUAGCUGGUCUGAGAGGACGAUCAGCCACACUGGGACUGAGACACGGCCCAGACUCCUACGGGAGGCAGCAGUGGGGAAUCUUGCGCAAUGCGCGAAAGCGUGACGCAGCAACGCCGCGUGGGGAAGAC
rnacentral:rRNA from 1 species